rnacentral:rRNA from 1 species
GACGAACGCUGGCGGCGUGCUUAACACAUGCAAGUCGAACGGAAAGGCCCUGCUUUUGUGGGGUGCUCGAGUGGCGAACGGGUGAGUAACACGUGAGUAACCUGCCCUUGACUUUGGGAUAACUUCAGGAAACUGGGGCUAAUACCGGAUAGGAGCUCCUGCUGCAUGGUGGGGGUUGGAAAGUUUCGGCGGUUGGGGAUGGACUCGCGGCUUAUCAGCUUGUUGGUGGGGUAGUGGCUUACCAAGGCUUUGACGGGUAGCCGGCCUGAGAGGGUGACCGGCCACAUUGGGACUGAGAUACGGCCCAGACUCCUACGGGAGGCAGCAGUGGGGAAUAUUGCACAAUGGGCGGAAGCCUGAUGCAGCAACGCCGCGUGCGGGAUAACGGCCUUCGGGUUGUAAACCGCUUUCGCCUGUGACGAAGCGUGAGUGACGGUAAUGGGUAAAGAAGCACCGGCUAACUACGUGCCAGCAGCCGCGGUGAUACGUAGGGUGCGAGCGUUGUCCGGAUUUAUUGGGCGUAAAGGGCUCGUAGGUGGUUGAUCGCGUCGGAAGUGUAAUCUUGGGGCUUAACCCUGAGCGUGCUUUCGAUACGGGUUGACUUGAGGAAGGUAGGGGAGAAUGGAAUUCCUGGUGGAGCGGUGGAAUGCGCAGAUAUCAGGAGGAACACCAGUGGCGAAGGCGGUUCUCUGGGCCUUUCCUGACGCUGAGGAGCGAAAGCGUGGGGAGCGAACAGGCUUAGAUACCCUGGUAGUCCACGCUGUAAACGGUGGGUACUAGGUGUGGGGUCCAUUCCACGGGUUCCGUGCCGUAGCUAACGCUUUAAGUACCCCGCCUGGGGAGUACGGCCGCAAGGCUAAAACUCAAAGGAAUUGACGGGGCCCCGCACAAGCGGCGGAGCAUGCGGAUUAAUUCGAUGCAACGCGUAGAACCUUACCUGGGUUUGACAUGGAUCGGGAGCGCUCAGAGAUGGGUGUGCCUCUUUUGGGGUCGGUUCACAGGUGGUGCAUGGCUGUCGUCAGCUCGUGUCGUGAGAUGUUGGGUUAAGUCCCGCAACGAGCGCAACCCUUGUUCACUGUUGCCAGCACGUUAUGGUGGGGACUCAGUGGAGACCGCCGGGGUCAACUCGGAGGAAGGUGGGGAUGACGUCAAGUCAUCAUGCCCCUUAUGUCCAGGGCUUCACGCAUGCUACAAUGGCUGGUACAGAGAGUGGCGAGCCUGUGAGGGUGAGCGAAUCUCGGAAAGCCGGUCUCAGUUCGGAUUGGGGUCUGCAACUCGACCUCAUGAAGUCGGAGUCGCUAGUAAUCGCAGAUCAGCAACGCUGCGGUGAAUACGUUCCCGGG